CCUACGGGUGGCAGCAGUGGGGACUAUUGCACAAUGGGGGAAACCCUGAUGCAGCGACGCCGCGGGAGUGAAGAAGUAUUUCGGUAUGUAAAGCUCUAUCAGCAGGGAAGAUAAUGACGGUACCUGAGUAAGAAGCCCCAGCUAACUACGUGCCAGCAUCCGCGGUAAUACGUAUGGGGCAAGCUUUAUCCGGCUUUACUGGGUGUAAAGGGAGCGUAGACGGCAUGGCAAGUCUGAAGUGAAAGCCCGGGGCUCAACCGCGGGUCUGCUUUUGAAACUGUGAAGCUGGAGUGCAGGAGAGGUAAGUGGAAUUCCGAGUGUAGAGGUGAAAUGCGUAGAUAUUAGGAGGAACACCAGUGGCGAAGGCGGCUUACUGGACUGUAACUGACGUUGAGGCUCGAAAGCGUGGGGAGCAAACAGGAUUAGAUACCCUGGUAGUC
rnacentral:rRNA from 1 species